GACGAACGCUGGCGGCGUGCCUAAUACAUGCAAGUAGAACGCUGAAGAGAGGAGCUUGCUCUUCUUGGAAGAGUUGCGAACGGGUGAGUAACGCGUAGGUAACCUGCCUUGUAGCGGGGGAUAACUAUUGGAAACGAUAGCUAAUACCGCAUAACAAUGGGUGACCCAUGUCAUUCGUUUGAAAGGGGCAACUGCUCCACUACAAGAUGGACCUGCGUUGUAUUAGCUAGUAGGUGAGGUAACGGCUCACCUAGGCGACGAUACAUAGCCGACCUGAGAGGGUGAUCGGCCACACUGGGACUGAGACACGGCCCAGACUCCUACGGGAGGCAGCAGUAGGGAAUCUUCGGCAAUGGGGGCAACCCUGACCGAGCAACGCCGCGUGAGUGAAGAAGGUUUUCGGAUCGUAAAGCUCUGUUGUAAGUCAAGAACGAGUGUGAGAGUGGAAAGUUCACACUGUGACGGUAGCUUACCAGAAAGGGACGGCUAACUACGUGCCAGCAGCCGCGGUAAUACGUAGGUCCCGAGCGUUGUCCGGAUUUAUUGGGCGUAAAGCGAGCGCAGGCGGUUUGAUAAGUCUGAAGUUAAAGGCUGUGGCUCAACCAUAGUUCGCUUUGGAAACUGUCAAACUUGAGUGCAGAAGGGGAGAGUGGAAUUCCAUGUGUAGCGGUGAAAUGCGUAGAUAUAUGGAGGAACACCGGUGGCGGAAGCGGCUCUCUGGUCUGUAACUGACGCUGAGGCUCGAAAGCGUGGGGAGCGAACAGG
rnacentral:rRNA from 1 species